UUUUACUUGUGAUGGAAGGAGGCAGUGUACGGAGCAAGGGAAAAGAGCCAUGUAUUGGUAAAUCAUCAUCUGCUACAGCCUGUGAAUGGGUGGUUACUACUGAUGGCUUCAUGAUAUGUUGAAAGAGAAGAUAGGUGGAGAGCUUGUUAGAUGGAAUGCCACGAAGUUUGGCACACUUUUUUGUUCCUACAGAGUUUUUGGGACAGACAAGACAAGUUCCAAGCUUGGAUGGUGUCUAGUGAUUGGAAAAAUAAUGAUUGGAGAGAUGAAGAAGACCACAAAUUCACCUACAAUUGUUUGAUAGAUAGGAUAUGGUGGGAGAAGGUUGAAAUGGUACUGAAAACUGUGACACCACUCUAUUCUGUGCUUCGAUUUGCUGACCAAUAGAAAAAAUGGAACCAUUUCUAGCUUUCUUCUAAAAAUUUUAUCUACUCAAGCUGAGAUCUUUGCUAAGUUAAAGCAUGACAAAAAUGUCAAAAGAGAUUUCAUGAAGAAAGUGAAUGAAAUAAUUAAAAAGAGAACUCAGUAUCUUCUUAA